GGACUGAUUUAUCCCAAGACUACAUUACGUUACGAGGCUAACGGCUUGAAAAAAAAUGUCUAGACCAAUAUCGACCCCCCGUCUUCUCCCGAUAAUGCCCCGUCUCCUCAACUUUCUCUUGACCUAACACCCAUUGAGUAAUUUGAGACUAUCGAUUUAGUCCCAUCUUGAAGCAGGGUAUCAGUCCUCCAAAGCAGUGAAGCAUUGAUGUAGCGUGUGCACCCAAGCUGAUUGCAAGUACGCAACAAACAUUCAGCCACACUGCUCCCACAAGAAGCUUUCUUUUGAUGGUGAAGUGAGUGCCCUGGGAGAUACUUUGACUAGAUCUAGCUGCAGUGGAAGAGGUUCAGAGUUGAUUAAACAAGGCCCGUACGGUAUCUACUGUUGACAGGCAUUUCAUUCAACUUCGUGCUGUAGUCUACUCACUACUCAGGUCUAAAACAGAUCAUACUGACAAAGAACUUCAAGACAUCUUCAGUCACAGCUCCCUAUGAUACCCUCUGAGGAAGCAAGUGAUAUUAUGCCAUCUUGAGAAUAUCUCAAGGUCCUGUACGGUUCAAAGCUAGCGACAUCAAGACCGUUGUUCUUUUACAGACUGAGAUAAAAUUCACUAUGGCGUCCACGUACAAUUCAUCGGGUGUCGAAUCUGACGCCAUUUUGGACGUCGCUCUCUCACAGUUAGGAAGUCUUUACCGCAGAGUAAACAGCACGAACGAGACAGAUUCUGGCAACAUGACCGUGCCGUCAAACCACUCGACCACAGCGUUCCCCAAAAACAUCACGAGCACACCAUCAGGCGGCAGCAGCAACAACCCUCUACAGACAUCCACUUCGGACAGUUCAAUCAUCGCGAAGAUAACACUGUUGCUCGUGGUAACCGCUGUUGUUCUUAUUGCCUCCUACAAGUUUGUGGUGCGGCUUUUUCUGGGCUAUGCCGACAGGAAGGACGAGGUCUUCCCAGACGGUUUUUCGGAUGACGAGGAUUCGGCGGUCGUCAAGAGAAUAGCCACAGGGAGCUUGGACAUAGGCUGAACAGGAACUCAUUGCUCCCUCCUUUCUUCUGCCAAAAUUUGAUGAAACGUUUCAAAUCUUCUAGAAAUUGUUGUGGAAACGAAAGUGACACCUCGGCAAGAAACAGCAUUUUUACUUGUGUGUUCUUUAAGCACGUAAGACUUAUCGUCUCAGGCGAAUAAUGACGCCUGUACUGUUAUAUCUGCAUCUCACUGUGCGUAUGUUACUUUUCUUGACCCAUUCACUUUACAAAAUGGCUCUUAUCACUGUUCAGAUAUGUUUACCGAAUGUUAAUGAAAUUCUUCAGAUGUUCUUGUUAGAUGUGUCAAAUAUUCAAUCUUUGGGACUCACCCUAUUCACAGAUUGCUACUGAAUUACAGUGACCUGAACCUGUCAUAUUAUUGAGUGGUAUAUUCCUGGCGUUCUUUCACACAUGACAUCGAUCGACUCCAUGUUCAUCGCUUUCUUCAUUUGGCAAUGGGUUAAUCAAGAGAAAGCCUUUUUCCAAAUGCCACGCACGAUUGCAUGUUGAAAUCUUAUUUAUCUUCACACAUGCCUUCCGUACGUACAGGUAUGCAUUCAGUUUCCACGACAGACCAACAUAUUUUGUGCAGAUUUUUUACCUUUAUUUGCAAAUUACAUGUACUUGUACACGAGAAUGUAUGUGUAGUAACUUUAAGUUUUAAUUUUAGUACACGAUACAUCCAAACAUUGUUUCAUUGCAAAGGUGACUGUAUAAACGGCUUGGUGUUGUGACAAGUGUCUACUCUUUUUACCUCACCAAUUAAACAAGCCAUUUCUUGUAUAACUUUGUUAAAAUUAAAGUUCAAUUUUUGCACUUCUAGUGUGAGAUAAUUAGAUACGAUUGUGUUCUCCCAAUAAAUUCUUUGUUCAAUUUACUUCUUUACAAAGUAUAUGUCUUUUUUGUUGUCUAGUUCUUGUCCAACAAACUGAAAUAUUUAAAAAUAAAUCGCAUUUGUUGUCGUCUUUCUUACCUUUAUUUUUCAUCAUUUACCCAAUCAAAUAACCUCCUAACUUUUGGAUGUAUUUCUCAUCCGAUGUUCGAAUGUUUGUAAGUUUGAAAUGUGAAAGAAAUGAACCCUUGUAUCAAAGGCUUCUAAUAUUUUGUACAAGAGGUCUUUCUGAGAUUUCGUUUGUCUUUUUUUCUGAGAGCAGCCUUUUUGUUGUUUCUUUAUUUUUCUUUAGGAAUCUUUGUUUUUAUACAUUUUCUUAGCUUCCCAUGACUUCACGAUAAAGUCGUUGUUGUUGUUGUCGCCAUCGUUGUCGUCGUUAUUGUUGUUGUUGUUGUUGUUGUUAUUAUUAUUGUUGUUGUUGUAGUUGUUGUUGUUGUUAUUGUUGUUGUUAUUGUUGUUGUUAUUGUUAUUGUUGUUGUUGUUGUCGUCGUCGUACUCAAUAUUUACGUCAGUCUCCAAUAGUAAUUUUACUGAACUUAUUAGAUUUAUGUCAUCUGAGCUGCCGUGUUGUCAUUAUAAAAAUCAUUCUAAACUUUAUAUUUUGCGCUGGCCAUAAUGCCCAUUGACCAAUUAAAUAUAAUAAGUUAAUGUCAUUGUCCAUUAGCCUAGGUAAAACAGGUUGAACAGAGCUUAUUUUUUUACGUUGCAUUUGUUUUUCGUAAAAAAAAAAUUGUAAUGCUUGUUGUCUCGGCACAUCUUUAGUCACGUAAUCUUUAUAUUUUACAUAAAAUUUUAAGUUUGUUUCAUUUUUCAUCGUCCGGUUUUGUAAUGCAGGACAGCUGAGCUGUGCUUGCAGUAUAAGAAAAAUAGUGCCAGUUCCAACGAAUCGUCUUUCUAUUUUAAUAGUACACAGCCACUGAAAGGAGGUAUCAAAUGACUAUGACGGCAUUGAGCGAAUUAGGUUUGAAUCUAAUUUUUUUUUAAAUUCUGUAACACCUUUUAGAAUCCAGAAUAGAUUAGACAAUGGCUAGAUCCCCAGAGUUGACUUCACCUUUUAGACAGAGAAGAAUCCAAAGCCUUGAAAUACUCCCAAAACAUAUGUGUCAUGAUACGGUGGAAUCAGGCGCUCGUCGAUUUUUGGGUAUGUGGAGUUAUUAGUGUCAUCUGAAAGCUUAUGGAUUUGCCCUGCUUUCAAUGAAACAAAAAACCCAUCUACCUUGUGUUGAAGUAGAGAUAGUUGCGAUUGGACGAGGUGCAGGCGACUGGUUUGAGUGGGAAAAUUAAGGAAAAAUGGCCGCCGAGGUUUGUUAAUUUCAAUACUUGUGAGUCUCAGAAAACUGAAAAAUUCAUAUUUUGUACUUUUAAUCAGCGUUUUUUUAAAAGCAAAAUUAACAUGGAAGUUUAUUUUUAUAUGGACAUAAAAGAAAAGGAAUUGAACAAAACACAAAAAUUCGAUAAAAAUGGUCGGCCAAACUGAUAGAAAAAAUGCCUUUUUCUUCGACUGUAUUUUGACGAGAGCCUGAUUUCACCACAAUGCCUCACAUAUUAUGAUACCCAGAAUCUAGCAAGGAUUCAAACCCAUUUCUCGGACAGUAUAGUGGAGUGUCCUACAGUCUGAGGAAUCCCUGACAAGGUUGGUGUUGGGUACAAGUACUUGAUAUGUAAAGUAUGCUACAUGACAAAACUUUGAAAUCUCACCGUACAAACUUUUCUUAUUUUUUUCUCAGCGCAUUGUAGUAUGAGUUAUGGUUUAAUUCAGCAUUUUGAUACAAGUGGUUCCUUGCCAACAAAGGAAUAGUUUAUCCGCAUAGAUAGAUUAUGUAUCACGACGCAGUGGAAACAGGCGCUCGUCAGUUUUUGGGCAUAUAAUGUGUGGGAUUAUUGGUAUGUUCUUAUAGCUUGUUCAUUUGUCUUGCUUUAGGUGGACAAAAUCCCGAUCUAUCUUGAAUAGAAGUAGAGACAUUUAGGGUUGGAGAAGGUGGGGUUUUCUGUUGUCAUAGGUAAAAUUAGCGAGAAACUGGCCUCCAAAUUCUGGCGACUUCCAAAGUUUGAGCGUCCUUGGAAACUACAAAUCUACAUUUUUGUGCCUUUGAUAAACAUUUUUCGGUAAAAUCGACACAUUCAAGUGUUCUUAAACGGGCAUAGAAGGUGAUGAGGCACAAAAAAAGAAAAUAUUUAUUUAAAAAAUGUCAAUUUAAUAUAUUUCACUACUUUGACGAGCGCCUGAUUUCAUCAUGCUGCCUCACAAAUGAACUCCAGUCUGUGUAUGUAUGUCAGGUUGAGUACUGUAUCUCUAUAGGCAUAUUAUUUUAUGAAAAGUGAGAGAGAUGUUACUUUCUAUCUAUCUGUCAUGCUCUUUACUUGCCUCCUUUCAUGAAAGAUGGGGUGAGAAAAAUGUGGUUACAUGAUAUAUAUUAAGAAGUAAAUGUUUACUGGUUUGCUAAGAAAAUAAAUUACAUUGACAAAACUA